rnacentral:tRNA from 1 species
GGGCCUAUGACGCAGCUUGGUUAGCGUGCUCGGCUGAUAACCGGGAAUGCGGCGGUUCAAAUCCGCCUAGGCCCACCA